rnacentral:misc_RNA from 1 species
GAUGAAGAACGUAGCGAAAUGCGAUAAGUAAUGUGAAUUGCAGAAUUCAGUGAAUCAUCGAAUCUUUGAACGCACAUUGCGCCCGCCAGUAUUCUGGCGGGCAUGCCUGUUCGAGCGUGAUUUCAACCAUCAAGCCCUGCUUGCGUUGGGGUCCUGCGGCUGCCCGCAGGCCCUGAAAACCAGUGGCGGGCUCGCUAGUCACACCGAGCGCAGUAAUACAUCUCGCUUUGGGCGUGCGGCGGGUUCUUGCCGUUAAACACCCCCUUUUUACCAAGGUUGACCUCGGAUCAGGUAGGAAUACCCGCUGAACUUAAGCAUAUCAAUAAGCGGAGGA